rnacentral:rRNA from 1 species
GACGAACGCUGGCGGCGUGCUUAACACAUGCAAGUCGAACGGAAAGGCCCUGCUUUUGUGGGGUGCUCGAGUGGCGAACGGGUGAGUAACACGUGAGUAACCUGCCCUUGACUUUGGGAUAACUUCAGGAAACUGGGGCUAAUACCGGAUAAGAGCUCCUGCUGCAUGGUGGGGGUUGGAAAGUUUCGGCGGUUGGGGAUGGACUAGCGGCUUAUCAGCUUGUUGGUGGGGUAGUGGCUUACCAAGGCUUUGACGGGUAGCCGGCCUGAGAGGGUGACCGGCCACAUUGGGACUGAGAUACGGCCCAGACUCCUACGGGAGGCAGCAGUGGGGAAUAUUGCACAAUGGGCGGAAGCCUGAUGCAGCAACGCCGCGUGCGGGAUGACGGCCUUCGGGUUGUAAACCGCUUUCGCCUGUGACGAAGCGUGAGUGACGGUAAUGGGUAAAGAAGCACCGGCUAACUACGUG